rnacentral:piRNA from 1 species
UCUUGGGACAAUGUAAAGCAAUGGCAGGCA